rnacentral:lncRNA from 1 species
AAAAAGAAAACAAAAAAACCUAUUUUUCAUUCUCAAAAAUCUCUGUGAGUACUCACUCCGCCGCUAACGUUUUCUUCUUCUUCUUCUUCUCCUUCUCCGUUGAAAUCAAAAUGUAUGUUUCUUCUUUCUCUUAUUAAUAAUAAAUAUACAACAAAUAAUCCUUUAUAUUUUAUAUUUUUAAUUCCUUUUUUGCAAUGAAUUUUACAUGGAUUAUUACACUAUAAUGUUGCCUUUUAGCUUAGGAAAAAAGUGAAUUUUGUUUUUGUUUGCUUCCUUGUAAUAAUGAAUGCUAAUAAGUUGUGUUUGUUUAUUAAUUUGAUAAUUUACACAUUGAUAGGCACACUUUAAUGCAUAAAAAAGUGGUUAGGUGUUGGACGGUUUUUUCCAAUGGGUGUAUGAGAGGGGAAUAUGAAAUUGUGAUUUUAUGUGGACUUAAUGUGCAGUUGUGUUGAGGUUAUGAAAUAGGAUGUUGAAUUUUAGUUGAUUUUGAUGGGUGUAAAAGAAUGUCUUUUGUUGAUUUUUACUAGAGUUGCCUGUCUAGCUAAAUGGUUCUGUUUUGAUGAAUAUAAUUGAAGACUGUUGUACACAGUGGCGGAGUCAGGAUUUUCAUUGAGGGGUUGAGAAUUAAACAUACGAACUAGCCGAAUGUGGUUCAACAAUUACUAUAUAUAUGUAAAAAAUAUUUUUAACCAUGUAAAAAUAGUACAAUUUUCCGUCGAAGGGAGACUCCCGGAUGAAAGAGGAUUUCAUUGAGUGGGUUCAGAAGUAAACAUACGAACUAGCCGAAUGAGGUUUAACAUAUAUCUCUCUAUAUAUAUAUAUAUACAAAAAAAAUAUUUUUAA